UACGUAGGGUGCAAGCGUUAUCCGGAAUGAUUGGGCGUAAAGCGUCUGUAGGUGGCUUUUUAAGUCCGCCGUCAAAUCCCAGGGCUCAACCCUGGACAGGCGGUGGAAACUACCAAGCUGGAGUACGGUAGGGGCAGAGGGAAUUUCCAGUGGAGCGGUGAAAUGCGUAGAUAUUGGAAAGACCACCAAUGGCGAAGGCACUCUACUGGGCCAUUACUGACACUGAGAGACGAAAGCUAGGGGAGCGAAUGGG
rnacentral:rRNA from 1 species